AUCUCCCCACUGACCUAUAGAUCUCAUUCUAUAGGGACCAGACCCACCCAUAUAGAAUAAAUCAUAUAGGGGUCAGACCUACUCAUAUAGACUGGACCCUAUAGGGACCACCCCACUGACCCCCUAUAGACCCCACCCUAUAGGGAACACACCCUAUAGGGACUACCCCACUGAUCCCAUAUAGACCUCACCCUAUAGGGACCAGACCCUAUAGACCCCACCCCACUGACCCCCUAUAGACCCCACCCUAUAGGGACCAGACCCUAAAGGCGCCACCACCCCACUGACCCCUAUAGACCUCACCCUAUAGGGACCAGCCCCUAUAGACUCCACCCUAUACGGACCCCACCCUAUAUGGACCAGACCCUAUAGGGACCACCCCACUGACCCCUUACAGACCUUACCCUAUAGGGACCACCCCCUAUAGACCUCACCCUAUAGGCACCACCCCACUGACCCCCUAUAGACCCCACCCUAUAGGGACCCCACCCUAUAGGGACCAGACCCUAUAGGAAUCACCCCACUGACCCCCUAUAGACCUCACCCUAUAGGGACCAGACUCUAUAGGGACCACCCCACUGACCCCCUAUAGACCUCACCCUAUAGGGAGCAGACCCUAUAGGGAGCAGACCCUAUAGGGACCACCCCACUGACCCCCUAUAGGGACCCCACCCUAUAGGGACCAUACCCUAUAGACCUCACCCAACCCCAACCCUUACAGACCUUACCCUAUAGGGACCCCACCCUAUAGGGACCACCCCACUGACCCCCUAUAGACCUCACCCUAUAGGGACCACCCCACUGACCACCUAUAGACCUCACCCUAUAGGGACCAGACCCUACAGGGUCCACCCCACUGACCCCCUAUAGACCCCACCCUAUAGGGACCACCCCCUAUAGACCUCACCCUAUAGGGACCAGACUCUAUAGGGACCACCCCGCUGACCCCCUAUAGACCCCACCCUAUAUGAACCCCACCCUAUAGGGACCACACCCUAUAGGGACCACCCCACUGACCCCUUACAGACCCCACCCUAUAGGGACCAGACCCUAUAGGGACCACCCCACUGACCCCCUAUAGAUCUCACCCUAUAGGGACCAGACUCUAUAGGAAUCACCCCACUGACCCCCUAUAGACUUCACCCUAUAGGGAUCAGGCCCACCUAUAUAGACCACACCCUAUAGGGACCCCACCCCUUACAGACCCCACCCUAUAGGGACCAAACCCUAUAGACCCCACCUUACUGACCCCCUAUAGACCCCACCCUAUAGGGACCACACCCUAUAGGGACCACCCCACUGACCCCCUAAAGACCUCACCCUAUAGGGAUCAGUCCCAACCAU
rnacentral:lncRNA from 1 species